UAGGCUAGGAGAUAAAUUGUCUGCUGUAACGGCCCGCAGUGCGCCUGUCCAUCGCACACGUGUUCUCGUAGGAACAUUGAUUCAAGCCUGGCUUCCCUGUGCUCAGAGUCUCCGAGUCCCCCCUCGGAUGGGGUUGGUGGGAUCAUUCCUCACAUCCGGGGCUUAUCUUGGGAAACGGCCAAGAACCCUUUCUGCGGGGCAUUGUGGGCUGAGGUCGUGACUUAAAUGGGGAGUGAGAAGGGGAGGACGUUCAAUUCGGGCAGCACUGCGCUCCGCGUCUCCUAACACGGACCAGGAAAGGAAGGCAAUUGAGACCGUGUGUUGGGGACGGGGACACCUGGGGGUGUUCGAAGGCUGAGGCUACGAGCUCCAUCCGUAGCGAGAUAAAGGGAAAGGGGCCUGUGGCGGAGAUAGGCCUCAGAGGGGGCCAGUGAGGACAGACCUGGGGGCUGUUCUCCGUAAGACAAAGGGUAGAAAUCCAGAGAACAGUAGGGGCGGCCCAUCAGUUAAAUAAACACAGGUUUGAGUGUGUUAAUAUGAAACAAGGCAGCGUGUGACAAGUCCAGUAAAGAUCACGUCCAAUGCCGUGGUAGCCAGGUGGGCAGAGGGUCCUCCUGGCAGGGGUGUGGGCGCUGGAUUUAUGGUAGGUGCACAUUGUUCUGGGGGUGGGGGGGGGUGGGGGGGCCUUGAUGGGUGAGUUCCGGGAGGGCACCACGGGGCAUUCUUGUAGUGAGAGGGAAUGUCAGAAGGUGCGUCAGGGUCAGAUGCCCGAGGCUUCCUGUAGCCUCGCUAAACAACCAGACUGAUCCCUAGAAUUCUCCGCGCACGGCCACACAACGUCAUUCGAGCCUCUCUCUGACCCUCGAAUUGUUAUCCUUACUUCCCAGGUGAGGCAGCUGAAGCCCAGAACACAACACAUCUUGCCCAAAUCACUGCGGGUGAAGGAAAGAACCUCCUCUGACUCCUGGCACGUUGAGGAAAUGGAGAAUUAUCCAUUAUCCAGAACUAGUCGUUCAAUCAACGGGGAGAUAAAUACCAAAGAGCCUGAUCCCGAUCGUCAGGAAAUGAGGGCACUGCGAGAUCAAGAACAUAAAAGCCAUCCACCGUCAUUGUGCACCUUGGCAAGACAGGACUCUGCCCCCCCGAGGUAACUGGCAUUUGGGCACCUGUACUCUGGGCUGGGACCUCUCUACGCUUAGUCUACUCCAUUUGUUGGGAGGUUACCAUCAUGCGUUUGCAGAUCAUAAACUGAGGCUGUCAGGGGAUCAUCGUUUGCCCCAAGAGGAGAGGGGCUGAUUCUAACCCAGACCUGUCACAAUGCUCUCCCC
ensembl:lncRNA